AUCUGGUUUGUGUGACAACCAUAAAAAGUCCAUAAUUUUGUGUGCCAACAAGAGAGAUCAUUUCACUGUGAGAUAUCAGAAGGAAAAAAGGGACAAAACCCUUCUUUGGGGUAUGAGAUUUGGGUGGGCUUCUAUCUUCCUUGGCAUGAACAAAGGAGGAGACCGAUCUCCUCUCGGGUGAGAGAUAUAGAACUGUUCUAG
rnacentral:lncRNA from 1 species